GAUGAAGAACGUAGCGAAAUGCGAUAAGUAGUGUGAAUUGCAGAAUUCAGUGAAUCAUCGAGUCUUUGAACGCACAUUGCGCCCUCUGGUAUUCCGGAGGGCAUGCCUGUCCGAGCGUCAUUGCUGCCCUCAAGCACGGCUUGUGUGUUAGGCCCCGUCCUCCGCUCGCGGGGGACGGGCCUGAAAGGCAGCGGCGGCACCGCGUCCGGUCCUCGAGCGUAUGGGGCUUUGUCACCCGCUCUGUAGGCCCGGCCGGCGCCUGCCGAUCAACCACACUUUUAUUCAGGUUGACCUCGGAUCAGGUAGGGAUACCCGCUGAACUUAAGCAUAUCAAUAAGCGGAGGA
rnacentral:misc_RNA from 1 species